rnacentral:lncRNA from 1 species
ACAAAACACUCUGAGGCCUCUCAUGUCUGCACUAGGGAUUUCCUUCUCUAUCUCCUUCCAUGCAAAGCACUCUUAGAAAUGAAGUAAACUAUAGUCAGAUAUCAUUUGAGUAGCUGAAACUUCCCAUCUGGGAAACUUAGGAAAACUGAACUUGCAUAAAUCAUGCUGUAUGUCUGUUUAGCUCAUAAAGUGUUUGUGUAGGAUUUUUGUGGCUUUGAAAUGACUAAGAUAACUGGAGCAGCCUGGAAAAAGGACCACAACUCACAGGGUGUUUACAAAACUCACAGGGUAUUACAGAAGUAACUUUCCUCUCACAGGUACUGCUAUAAUUGAGUGGUCAAUAACUAAUGAUGAUGGAGGAAAGAAUUAUCUGUGGAAUGCCUGGUCCCUCAAGUGCAUAGUGAGGGCCAAACUAGUUGCGGUUCAUCUCUGCACGUUGGAGGCAUGUGGAUUAGGAUCUUAAUGCUGUGGUUUGGAGAGAAAUGAGUGAUGAAAAGGAUUCAUAGAUUUGCAAACCAGUGAGACAGGUGCCAGGACUCC